UACAGAGGGUGCGAGCGUUGUCCGGAAUCACUGGGCGUAAAGGGCGCGUAGGUGGAGCUCCAAGUCCGUGGUGAAAGCUCGAUGCUCAACAUCGAGUCGGCCACGGAGACUGGAGGGCUCGAGCACUGUAGGGGCAGAUGGAAUUCCGGGUGUAGCGGUGGAAUGCGUAGAGAUCCGGAAGAACACCGGUGGCGAAGGCGGUCUGCUGGGCAGUUGCUGACACUGAGGCGCGACAGCGUGGGGAGCAAACAGG
rnacentral:rRNA from 1 species